rnacentral:rRNA from 1 species
UACGAAGGGGGCGAGCGUUGUUCGGAUUUACUGGGCGUAAAGGGCGCGCAGGCGGCUCAUUUUGUCAGGCGUGAAAGCCCCGGGCUUAACCUGGGAACUGCGUUUGAUACGGAUGGGCUAGAGUUCGGGGAGAGGAGAGUGGAAUUCCCAGUGUAGAGGUGAAAUUCGUAGAUAUUGGGAAGAACACCGGUGGCGAAGGCGGCUCUCUGGACCGAUACUGACGCUGAGGCGCGAAAGCGUGGGGAGCAAACAGG